AUUGAACGCUGGCGGCAUGCCUUACACAUGCAAGUCGAACGGCAGCACGGGAGCAAUCCUGGUGGCGAGUGGCGAACGGGUGAGUAAUAUAUCGGAACGUGCCCAGUCGUGGGGGAUAACGUAGCGAAAGCUACGCUAAUACCGCAUACGAUCUAUGGAUGAAAGCGGGGGAUCGCAGACCUCGCGCGAUUGGAGCGGCCGAUAUCAGAUUAGGUAGUUGGUGNGGUAAAGGCUCGACCAAGCCGACGAUCUGUAGCUGGUCUGAGAGGACGACCAGCCACACUGGGACUGAGACAGGCCCAGACUCCUACGGAGGCAGCA
rnacentral:rRNA from 1 species